rnacentral:lncRNA from 1 species
CUACGAAAAGUCCACUCGAAGUCUUGAUCUGAUCGGUUUCUUCGAGAGUACUAGCUCAUGCGAAGAUCUUCUCUUUGACUAAUCUGGAUCCUUUCUUCAAAUCUUUGAAAUCUUUUCAGAGGUUGAAGAUGAACUUCUAGAGGAGAUGAAGAGGUAGAAGAAAGAUGGUGAAAAAAAUAAUUUUUCUCUCUUCCCAAACCUUUAGGAACAAACCCAAGAAAACUAGGUUUUGCAUACACCCAAAGAGAAA